UACGUAGGGUGCGAGCGUUAAUCGGAAUUACUGGGCGUAAAGCGUGCGCAGGCGGUUUUGUAAGCCAGAUGUGAAAUCCCCGGGCUUAACCUGGGAAUGGCAUUUGGGACUGCAAGGCUGGAGUUUGGCAGAGGAGACUGGAAUUCCCGGUGUAGCAGUGAAAUGCGUAGAUAUCGGGAGGAAUACCGAUGGCGAAGGCAGGUCUCUGGGCUAUAACUGACGCUCAUGCACGAAAGCGUGGGGAGCAAACAGG
rnacentral:rRNA from 3 species